GACAGAGGGUGCAAACGUUGCUCGGAAUUACUGGGCGUAAAGGGCGUGUAGGCGGGAAGGCAAGUCGGGCGUGAAAGCCCCAGGCUCAACCUGGGAACUGCACUCGAAACUGCCUUUCUUGAGUGCCGGAGAGGAAAGCGGAAUUCCUGGUGUAGAGGUGAAAUUCGUAGGAUAUCGAGGAGAACACCAGUGGCGAAGGCGGCUUUCUGGACGGUAACUGACGCUGAGACGCGAAAGCGUGGGGAGCAAACAGG
rnacentral:rRNA from 1 species